GGCCUCCUGGUGCUCACCACAGGCUGUGUUCUUACACUGACUUUAUAGAAAGAGGAGGCCAAAGAAAACAUAUACCAUAUACACUUCAGCCCAGGCACAGGGCCUGGUCUGUAUUGUGAAUGGGGAAACACAG
rnacentral:snoRNA from 1 species